AACGUAGGUGGCAAGCGUUGUCCGGAAUUACUGGGUGUAAAGGGAGCGCAGGCGGGUCUGCAAGUUGGAAGUGAAACUCAUGGGCUCAACCCAUGAACUGCUUUCAAAACUGCGGAUCUUGAGUGGUGUAGAGGUAGGCGGAAUUCCCGGUGUAGCGGUGGAAUGCGUAGAUAUCGGGAGGAACACCAGUGGCGAAGGCGGCCUACUGGGCACUAACUGACGCUGAGGCUCGAAAGCAUGGGUAG
rnacentral:rRNA from 1 species